rnacentral:rRNA from 1 species
GGAUGCGACAUACCAGCACUAAUGCACCGGAUCCCAUCAGAACUCCGAAGUUAAGCGUGCUUGGGCGAGAGUAGUACUAUGGAUGGGUGACCCUCUGGGAAGUCCUCGGAGUGUUGCAUCCC